CUCCGCGGCAGCGCCUGGUGGGGGGAGCUGCCGGGGCUCCGCCCCCUCCCCGCCAGAGGGCUCAGCGCCGCGCCGGGCUGCAGCCAGCGCCUGCUGGCGGACGCGGGCCUUGGCAUCAUCCCCGCUGGACCCCUGCAGCGUAGCACCCCGGCCACUGGCCUCCGCACGGCCCCAGCCCGGCCGCAUGAAAGCGGGGGCGGCCCUGGGGUGGAAGUGUGCGAGUCCUGCCGGCGGACUGAGGGGGACAGCGACGCCCUGGUGAGGCGUGGCCCGAUCCCCGGGGCCAAGGCUCUGGUACCAUGAGGAUGCCAUAGUUACAACCAUUUUAUUUUCCACAUAAAACCAAAGGAAAAUCAAGAUCAGCUGGCAGUUAUAUUUGAUUAGAAACUUACGAAAGAAGUGAGACCAGUAAAGCAGUGUGGAUACAGUGAAACCUGAAUUGACUGGUCUUUGGAUACUACUACUGUAUCAAUGUCAAAUAAUGGAAAACCAGGAAGUGAUACAGCAUCCUAUCCUCGGGAAGUAGUAAAAAUUCCCUUAACAUCCAUUACAUCUCUUCAGCACUGUGAAGAACACUACAUCACACUUGCCAUAACAAUAUAUUAUUUGUUUAAGAAAUUAAUUCUUGUAAUAUCGUAAUGAUAACAUGGAUGUACAUAAGGUUUGGGAACUACUGUGGCUGGAAAAAAAUACACACACAAUGCUCUUCAUCCAUAGUAUUUGUACAAACUAUGGGCCAAAUCCUGCUAAACUUACUUAUGUGAGUAAACCUUAUUCACACCAGUAUUCCUCCUGCUGUCAGCAUGAGACAGAACUGCCAGCUCAGGAAUUCGUACAAUGUAUAUUCAAAAGUUGCUUUGCCCCCAGGUACAACUACCUCUGAAGUGACAACAAUAACUGCACAAUACCACACUGAAAAUGAAAAAGAGAAGAAUACCAUAGGCUUGUGAAACUGGAGCUAGAAUUUCAUUAUCCAUCUUGAAUUUGGCCAGGGCACUAGGAUAAGCAUCUUUGCCCAUGCAAAAUGUGCCACAAAUAGUCAGGACUUAGGUUUUAUUUCUCAUCUGCUCCAAAAACACUCUGAUGCAAGGUAUUCCGUAAACAGACAAUAUUCAGUCAUCAUUUCAGUUCAUUGUUUUACACAGGAUAGAGACUGAUUCCCGUAAUAUCCUUGUAGGCUUCAAGUGACACAUUUGCUCUGCUUAAUCUCACUUACUCAUAUUGUAUCAUAUUCAAACUAAUUGUUUUUCACACUUUAUUAUUAAACAAUUGAUGAGUGGUCUUCACCUGCAAUGAAUGCUAUUGUUAUCCACUAGAGGGAGCAUAAUGAAAAGACUUAAAUAAAAGAUUAAAAAACAACAACAAAAACCUGAGAAAGUCUGAUUAUCUUGUGUAGGACAGACCAGAGUGAUCACUGAGCCAAAAGUUCAAGAAUGGCUUCCUUAUGGAGCUUCAAUGCUGAUGCAGACUCCUUCAGGCAGGUGAAUGUGGUGUGUUGUAGAACUGAUACAAGGGGAAGGAAGGGCAUUUCAUUCUACAAGAACUGUACAAGGGAACCAAAUCAACAAAUAAAAAAAAGACAGUCCCUACCCCUAAAGAGUUUACAAUGUUAGAAUGUUGUUCAAAUUGUUCUUGAAUUCUAUAGUCAGUUGCCAGGACCAUGAAUCUUCUGAAAGUAAGGAUUGAAAGAAAGCUUUUGUCACUAAAAUAGACACAUUUUACAUUAUUGUGUAUUGUAACAUGAUGUAACUAUACUACACUUAUUUAAAAUAUUUAAGAGGCAAAAUGACUGACCUUGAUUUCAGAAAUUGUGACCAAACCCCAUUUGACAUAGUCAGUAAUUCAAAAGCAGAAUAACGGAGUACAACACUAUUCUAAGAUUGUAAGCUCUUUGUGGGUAGGGACUGUCUUUUUUUUUUUAUUUGUUGAUUUUGUUCCCUUGUACAGUGCUUGGCAUACGGUCCUGAUCUAUGCCUGGGGCUCUUUGGUGCUGUCAUAAUAAUAAUUAAAAUAAAAUCAUUUGGCAGAGAGUGGGUAAAAUGAUUAUUUUUUUUAAAUUACUCCCCUUCAGAUAUGGAAAUCUCUCUUCUUUAGUUAGUCAGUCACUUCCUAUAGAAGAAGAUUUUAAUAUUUGUUUGUAAAUUUCUAAGAAGAACGUGUGGCCCUGUGACUGAAGGGAAUAGUCAACAAAAUAAAUCUUUAGUAUCUGAUCCAAAGAAACCUGCUCAAGGCAGCAAAAGCUCUGUAAAAUCACCCAGGUCUGGAUCUGGAUUGUAUGUUUUUGCUAAAUUAGAAUAUAUUAACUUGAGAGAUUUACCGACUGAUUUUUAAUAGUUUUCUUUUAACUUUUAAAUUAGGUUUUCCAGUCAUUCUUGACUGAGGAGGACUGUAAUGAGUAGGAUGAGCCAAGAUCACAUGAAAAAGCAAUAUGCAAACUAUAUGGGACUCCUAUUAUGGAAGCACUGCAAACUUAUUUAGCCAAGCAUGAUUCUGAAGCCUUUAAGGGGAGGACUUUAUUUUUUUUCUUUGUUUAAGGAUUGGCAAAGCAACCUAAUUAUUUAAUUGCAUGCAAACUACUUCCUUGUUCUUAUAUUUACUAAGAGUUAGCAUGAAUGAUUAUGCAAAACAAAUCUAUCAUUAGUUGCUCUCUAUUUGCAUUGUGCCUGUUAAUAUGCUAUUGUUCAGACUAUGGCAGGGUAUAAUAAGCAAUUCUACUUCUGAAAUAAAAAUUCUAUAUGUGAAACUACAAAGAAACCUCAUUUUGUUCUGCAUGGAUUUUUGAAAUCACACAUUGUCUCAAAAUACCAUGGACCAAAUUUGCUGCUGCUAUUAAUGGGCAUUUCACCAAGA